rnacentral:rRNA from 1 species
AUUGAACGCUGGCGGCAUGCUUUACACAUGCAAGUCGAACGGUAACAGGUUAAGCUGACGAGUGGCGAACGGGUGAGUAAUGCAUCGGAACGUGCCCGGUCGUGGGGGAUAACGCAGCGAAAGCUGCGCUAAUACCGCAUACGAUCCGAGGAUGAAAGCGGGGGAACGUAAGGCCUCGCGCGCUCGGAGCGGCCGAUGUCAGAUUAGGUAGUUGGUGGGGUAAAGGCUCACCAAGCCGACGAUCUGUAGCUGGUCAGAGAGGACGACCAGCCACACUGGGACUGAGACACGGCCCAGCCUCCUACGGGAGGCAGCAGUGGGGAAUUUUGGACAAUGGGCGCAAGCCUGAUCCAGCAAUGCCGCGUGCAGGAAGAAGGCCUUCGGGUUGUAAACUGCUUUUGUACGGAGCGAAAAGGCUCUCUCUAAUACGGAGGGCUCAUGACGGUACCGUAAGAAUAAGCACCGGCUAACUACGUGCCAGCAGCCGCCGUAA